rnacentral:rRNA from 1 species
CUGCAGAAAAAAAACCAGCCCUCAGGAAACAUCGCUCAUCUCGAUCUCCCGUCGAAAAGAAAAACGCAGGGACGAGGCACUCCUGUCCCCUAGCCCCUCGCAUGCUAGGGUUCCUCACGCCGCCGUCGACGCCGCCGCCGCAUGGGUGUUCGUCGACUGGCCCUGCCUCCGGCCGCCGCCACCGCAGCCGCCCACCUUCAUCCUCUCCCCAACCCCGUCGGCCUCCAAUCCACCCCACUCCUCCGCGGGUGCCACCAAACCAUCGCCGCCCUCUCCCCGCACCCGUACCCAAGGAAUCAGCCGGCGGCCAGAUCCGCCCCUCCACUCACCCAACUCUCCCUCCGCCGCCGCGGACCUAGCAGGGAAGACGCGGACGAGAUCCCAAGUCGCUGCUCCUCCUCUCCCGGGAUGCAGCCGCCGCCGCCGAACCAGGGAGACGCCGGCGACCAUCGCCGCCGUCGUGGAUCACCAUGACGCCGCCGCCUGCACCGCCACCGCCGCGGUGUCGCGGCUGGCAUUGGCGAAUCCAUUCCCAGCGGCGGCGGCUUCCGGCGAGGAGGCGAGCGAGCUCGGGGAGCUACGGCAGGGGCUUGUCGCCGGUGAGGCGAGGCCAAGGCGGCGGCGCGCGGGCGCGAGGAGGCGGGGUCGAGGAGGCGCAGGAGGACGCCGGCCGGUGGGGCUCCGGCGGGGGCUUGGUGAGGGCGGCGGCGGCCGGCGUGCUCGCUUGGGAGGAUGGAGGCUGCCUCACCGGGGCUCGGGCACGGCAGCACGGCGUCGGGCCGUUGCCGAUGGCGCUGGGGCCGGGGCGGUGGUUUGACGGGCGACGAGGAGGAGGUGCUGUCCUGGAGCCAGCGACGGCGGCUGCAGCUUGACAAUGCCGGCGUCAACAACUUGCUUCAGGGGCUUCAGGCCGUGAACGGCGUUGUGCUUGCGCGCGAGACCCGUGUCUGAUUUGGAAAGAAUCAAUCCGGUGAAGAAGAAGGCCAAUGCAAUUGCUCUCUAGCUAGGCACUGGAGUAUCUGCACCCCCAAUGGAAUACUACGAAUUGCUGCUGGUACUGAACAUUGACAGGCAAGCAACAACAAACAGACUUUGCUGUUUUCAGUCUACUCAGAUAUUUGUUGGGCAUCACCGAGGAACGCCAGCAAAGGCGUGAAGAAAUACUCACAAUCAGUGUGACAUGUCGUGUGAGAUGAAGGUGGCAAACCAUCCAAACUUUAAGCCAAGCAUGUGGUGGAUCCGCCAUGGAUGAUGGAUGGACCGAGCUCCUGGUGUAAUUAAGCAUAUGGCUUUUGUGAUGUGUUAUGUAGAUAAUUACGUCGCGGAUCACCGGGACAUGACUAUCGCAGAUCACCAGGACACCGCCGGCGGCGGCGCCUCGGAUACCGGCGACCGGCGGUGAUCUGAGACCAACGAGUCAGCACCACAUCCCUGGUACUUCCCUUCCCCAUCCGCCAACCCUCUACCCUCCCCCUCUACAAAGGCCCGUGCGGCCCUGUCCGUCCGACCUCGACGGACACGACCAAGGAUGGAUGUGCAUCCCGACGCCUCUCUUCUCCAUUGAUCCCCCAUCUCCUCAAGGAGGAUCUGACGACGCCGAACGCAGCCAUGGAGCACCAGGAGCACGCGGAGACGAUGUGGGAGUGGGCGGUCUCCGAGGUUGCUAUUACGGGAUUACCUGAUGUUGCUUCAUGUCUGUUAUAUCUUUCAAUAUUUACAGAAACUUCCAAAACUAACACCAGUUAUUGGUGGUUUACACCGAUAGUUUCCAGACCUUUAUCGCAAGAUGGACGAACUUGGCAUCUCAGCCAGUACUCUACCUCAUCAACAGUUUGAUGUCCCUUUGAAUGAAGUUAGGCCAGCAUCAGAAGGUCCUAGCCUUUUUGAGGAGAUGAAGGUGAAGAAUAUUAAGCCGGAUAACCUCACAUGUUGCCUUCUAAUGACCAGCCAUGCGGCAUUGAACAAGAUAGAUGUUGUUGGAGAAGUUUCAGAAGAAAUGCAAGAGAAGGAUGUAGUUCUAGGGUGGUCUGCAUAUAGCAUGGUUUCUAUCUACCUGAGUGCUGGUUUGGUUUUAAAAAACAGUCCGCUCCGAAGAAACUCGAGGGCCUUGCUUUUAGAAGGUAACAUAAAUAUCUAUAUUGAUCGUUCAUGGUCCUGGGGCUGUUUGUUACCAUGUAAUAUAACAUAGUACUAUGCACAACGACGCGUCAUCACUAAGCUCAACAUCUAAAUAACUUGAAAUGUUGGCUCAGAGUUCUUUUACAACAUAAAAAUGAUUUUAUUUCUCCCGAUGCAUUGUUAUUUAGGCUUCAUUAUUCUGCAAUUUCUGUCAAAGUACUAAACAUGAAAUAUAUAAUUUGGUAAUGAACCGCAAAAUAUAUAUAUGUCCCCUGUUUUGUUAUUUAGGCUUCAUUAUUCUACAAAAUAUAUUUAUUACUUUGGUUACUCAGAUUACCACAAAAUAUAUAAGUUGUUUAUAUAAGUUGUUUAGGCUUAUAUUUUGUUAUUAUUCUACAAAAUAUAUAAGUUGUUUAGGCAUAUACAAUAACUUACCGAUAAAUAUAUUUUGUUAUUUAGGCUUCAUUAUUCUACAAUUUCUGGCAAAUCAAUAAACAUGCCAUACAUAAGUUGUUUUUGAACCCCAAAUAAUAUAUAUAUUUGUCCCCUGUUGCAACGUACAACCUCUUUUCCUUUAUUUCCUUAAUAUUAAAGGGAGGUGAGUUUCUUUAAAAAGUUUACAUUGUUUAUAAAAUUUUAAAACCAUGGGAAAGUAGUGCAUCAGGGAAGGUUCACCACUAGACCCCCCUGAUUGCAACGAAACAUCCUUUAUGUUGGAUUUUUUGGUAAUUAUGUAUUUAACAAAGCUCUCGUGUUUUGCUGGCGCAUGCCGUUUGUUCCUCUACAAGUGCCACUUCGCUGCAACCACUCUGUCAUUCAUGAAGAAUGUGAAGGCAAGGCUCCAUUUAAGGGAACGCGGCUAGCAACUAGACCCUCUAGGUGGACGCGAUCUUGAGCAGCGAAGAGCAGAUGCUCCGACAAGGCGAGCGUGGUUGCAGGCGACUGUUACACAUGUCGAGUUUGCUGACAAGAUUUCUGUCUCGGAAGGCGAGCGCGAGGCCACCACAAGGAGCAGAGCUGAGCUCGCUGUAGGCGGUGGAGGCGCACACGUUCCCACACCACUUUGCCAAGAUGAAGAAGAAAGUUGGCCUCACGCCCUCUGCCAUUAUAUCUGCGAGGGCCUCUGACAGUUCGGUGCUCAAAUCAAUUGAUGCCAACAGACCAGUGAGGUCCAAUUACCCCCUGAUCUGCGCAAUAACUGAAUGCAGGCGCAAGAACACUGACUUCAGGAACAGAGCAUUCGCGUUCCUGUUUGCUGACGGGGCCAACGACGAGUUGAGCUCGCUGUAGGCGAUGGAGGCGCACGCGUUCCCGCACCAGUUCGCUGAGAUGAAGAAAGUUGGCCUCGCGCCCGCUCCCAUUAUCUCUGCGAGGGCCUCUAACACUUCGGUUCUCAAAUCAAUUGACGCCAACAGACCAGGGGUGAAAACCGUUUCAUUUAUAAAUCAGAUAUGAAGUGCUAGAGCAACGAGAAUGAACAGAAUGAAAGUAGAGGAGAGGAGGGCUGGCAGAAAGAUGCUACAUUGUCUUCUUGCAAGGAGAUGAUGGUUAAGGUGGUGGAAAACAAAUGAGAUGAGAAAAAUGGAUUGUGAGAGAAGCAUCAUAUACUGCAAUUCUCGGUGAAGUCAAGGAGAUUAGUAUUAUCUUUCGAAUUAUUGAUACGAAAGCAAAUACAGUUGCACAUGUCUGUGUAAAAUUUGUUGUUCGUGCGAGUAGAUGGAGCUGGUGGUUGAGCUCUGCCCCUGAUUUCCAGUGUACUAGCCCUACAACAAAAUUGUACUCAGUAAGGUCAUAGGUUUUUUUUCCCUGACAAUUAAGAUUCUAUAAGAAUGUGCCCGAAGCCUGUCAGGUAAUACCAGCCAACUAAGCAGAUACACAAUGAAAUUUCUGAACACGAAUUACCUAGUGCAUCAUGCAAAAUAUUGAUGGUUGGGGUAACACAUAUGGACAAGGUGACGUAUAAUUACAGAAACAAACUGACUUGAUAAUGUUACACUGCACUAUAUGCACCGAAACUGACUUGAUAAUGUUACAAGGCGACGCAUAAUGGUCUUGCUAAAACGAACUCAAAAUGGUUGAUGCCUAUCAUCUUGCAGUCUUCCUGGAACCUCCCUUGUAGAUAACCAUUGUUCAUACUCUAUCAAAUCGUCAUGAUGAAUAAAGUCUACAAAUGUCGGUGUACUAGAGUAGGGGUAUCCUAAUAUCCUGAACUUGUGCACGGGCAGUUGCAGCGCCCCGCGGCAAGGCUUGCCGGGUGACCGCCAAGGUCCUCCGUGGUUCCUCUGGAGCCAUCCAAG